CCGACCCAUUCAUUUUCCUUGAGCAGUAGAAAGAUAAAGAUCGUCCCAACAAAUAACCCCAACCCCAAAUUUACCCCUGCCACUUGCCACUGCACCUCCCAUCCGUCGGCGACACCCACCGCAACCACAGUCGUCCUACCAGAGCACCACCGUGAGGCAUCGCCUUCCACGCCUCUCUUCGGUUUUCCUGUUUCCAUCUUCUCUCCCGUACCUCUCGCACACCACAGCAGGAAACAACAUCGAACUCCCAACCACCGCACCGUCGUUCGACUACCGCCUUCCACUUUCUCUUUUGCAAUUCAGUUAUGAUUCCUCAAGUUUGAUUCUGUGUCUCAGGGUAAUCAGAGUCGCAGGCAGUUCAAAUAGGCAUCAUUACCCUUUGAUUCAAGACUUUUAUGUGCAUUAGAUUAAUAUUUUGCUACUUUUUAUUGAUUGAUUAGGAUUAUUGUGACAUUGUCUUUGCACAUUGAUUGUCUUUAUGAACUACAGUGAGUUGCCAAAAUUGUUCAGUUUUGUUUUCUGAAAGUUUUGUACAGUGGGGUGUCGAUAUGCAAAUUUAUUGCUUGGAAAAUUUUGUACACGCUUGAGUUUAAUGUUUAAAUGAUGGAACGAAGUGGCGAUAA